GGUGGCCUAAUGGUUAGAGCGUUCGCCUCGGAUGCCGGAAGGUCGCGGGUUCGAACCUCGGCAGCCA